rnacentral:lncRNA from 1 species
AGUCCUAAAGGCUGGUCUCACUCCCAUCCUGCCACGCAACAGCACAGGGUCUAUUUCGAGACAGCCAGUGACCAGGGCUGAGAACUUGCCCCAGACCACCAGCCUCCUCACUGAGAAAGCAAGCAGAAUCACAGUUUUUUGGAAUCUCAGGGAGCCUUCAGCGGCAAUCCAGUUCCUUCAAAGGGUCUGUGGAUUCUCUCAGUUUUCAUGAAGCUGGCAUGUAAUUCUCGUUAACUCCAUGAGCAGAGUUUCAAUACUGCCCUGACCAAUGGGCAAAGAUGAUUCCCAGGCUGGAUCCCUGAACGCUAACUGACAUCCUGCUUUUCUUAAGGGAUAUGGAAAUUUCCCUGGGACAGCUGUGCUCUGCUGGCUAAGGAGCCCACAAGGUUAAUGAACACCCACAAAGACUGAGGAGGAUAGAGAGCAUUCUUCACUGGAUGAUUAGCAUGCCAGCAUUCUUUCCUCUGUGGUAAUGAUGGUCAAGAAGGUGCCUGGUGAUAGAAGGGAGAAUGAAGGGUUGCUGCUUCUGCCUCAAACGCUUAUUAAAAUUCAUUUCCAUUCAAA